rnacentral:rRNA from 1 species
AACGCUAGCUACAGGCUUAACACAUGCAAGUCGAGGGGCAGCAUUAGGUAGCAAUACUGAGAUGGCGACCGGCGCGCGGGUGCGUAACGCGUAUCCAACUUUCCCGUUACUCUGGGAUAGCCUUCCGAAAGGGAGAUUAAUACCGGAUGGUGUUGAAAUUUCGCAUGUUAUUUCAACUAAAGAUUUAUCGGUAACGGAUAGGGAUGCGUGACAUUAGGUAGAUGGCGGGGUAACGGCCCACCAUGCCCACGAUGUCUAGGGGUUCUGAGAGGAAGGUCCCCCACACUGGAACUGAGACACGGUCCAGACUCCUACGGGAGGCAGCAGUGAGGAAUAUUGGUCAAUGGUCGGAAGACUGAACCAGCCAAGUAGCGUGAAGGAUGAAGGUUCUAUGGAUUGUAAACUUCUUUUAUACGGGAAUAAAGCCCGCUACGUGUAGCGGUUUGUAUGUACCGUAUGAAUAAGCAUCGGCUAACUCCGUGCCAGCAGCCGCGGUAAUACGGAGGAUGCGAGCGUUAUCCGGAUUUAUUGGGUUUAAAGGGAGCGUAGACGGGAUGUUAAGUCAGUUGUGAAAGGCUGCGGCUCAACCGCAGCACUGCAGUUGAUACUGGCGUCCUUGAGUGCGGUUGAGGUGUGUGGAAUUCGUGGUGUAGCGGUGAAAUGCUUAGAUAUCACGAAGAACUCCGAUUG